UUACGUCCAUAUCAGGUUGAAACACCAGUUUCCGUACACCACUGAAGUUAAGCAACGUCGAGUUUGAUCAGUACCUAGAUGGGUGACCGCUUAGGAAUACUGGGUGCUGUAA